GCUUAACACAUGCAAGUCGAGGGGUAACAUUGUGCUUGCACAGAUGACGACCGGCGCACGGGUGCGUAACGCGUAUAGAACCUACCUUUUACAGAGGAAUAGCCUUUAGAAAUGAAGAUUAAUGCCUCAUAGUAUUGUAGACUGGCAUCAGUUUAUAAUUAAAGAUUUAUCGGUAAAAGAUGGCUAUGCGUCCUAUUAGUUAGUUGGUAAGGUAACGGCUUACCAAGACAGCGAUAGGUAGGGGUCCUGAGAGGGAGAUCCCCCACACUGGUACUGAGACACGGACCAGACUCCUACGGGAGGCAGCAGUGAGGAAUAUUGGACAAUGGAGGAGACUCUGAUCCAGCCAUGCCGCGUGUAGGAAGAAUGCCCUAUGGGUUGUAAACUACUUUUAUACAGGAAGAAACACUGGUAUGUAUACCAGCUUGACGGUAC
rnacentral:rRNA from 1 species